rnacentral:rRNA from 1 species
CUACGGGAGGCAGCAGUCGGGAAUAUUGGACAAUGGGGGAAACCCUGAUCCAGCCAUGCCGCGUGUGUGAAGAAGGCCCUAGGGUUGUAAAGCACUUUUAGUAGUGAGGAAGGCUCAGCAGUUAAUACCUGCUGGGAUUGACGUUAGCUACAGAAAAAGCACCGGCUAAUUUCGUGCCAGCAGCCGCGGUAAUACGAAAGGUGCAAGCGUUAAUCGGAAUUACUGGGCGUAAAGCGCGCGUAGGCGGAUUAGAAAGUUGGGGGUGAAAUCCCGGGGCUCAACCCCGGAACUGCCUCCAAAACUGCUAGUCUAGAGUUCGAGAGAGGUGAGUGGAAUUCCGAGUGUAGAGGUGAAAUUCGUAGAUAUUCGGAGGAACACCAGUGGCGAAGGCGGCUCACUGGCUCGAUACUGACGCUGAGGUGCGAAAGUGUGGGGAGCAAACAGGAUUAGAUACCCUGGUAGUCCACACCGUAAACGAUGAAUGCCAGUCGUCGGAUAGUAUACUAUUCGGUGACACACCUAACGGAUUAAGCAUUCCGCCUGGGGAGCACGGUCGCAAGAUUAAAACUCAAAG